rnacentral:rRNA from 1 species
UACGGCGGGGGCUAGCGUUAUUCGGAAUUACUGGGCGUAAAGCGCACGUAGGCGGAUCGACAAGGCAGAGGUGAAAUCCCAGGGCUCAACCCUGGAACUGCCUUUGAAACUGUCGGUCUUGAGAUCGAGAGAGGUGAGUGGAAUUCCGAGUGUAGAGGUGAAAUUCGUAGAUAUUCGGAGGAACACCAGUGGCGAAGGCGGCUCACUGGCUCGAUACUGACGCUGAGGUGCGAAAGCGUGGGGAGCAAACAGG